rnacentral:piRNA from 1 species
AUUGGACAUAGUACUACAGGAGAAUCA